rnacentral:rRNA from 1 species
GAUUAAGUUAUUAAGGGCGCACGGUGGAUGCCUUGGCACUAGAAGCCGAUGAAGGACGUUACUAACGACGAUAUGCUUUGGGGAGCUGUAAGUAAGCUUUGAUCCAGAGAUUUCCGAAUGGGGAAACCCAGCAUGAGUUAUGUCAUGUUAUCGAUAUGUGAAUACAUAGCAUAUCAGAAGGCACACCCGGAGAACUGAAACAUCUUAGUACCCGGAGGAAGAGAAAGAAAAUUCGAUUCCCUUAGUAGCGGCGAGCGAAACGGGGAAGAGCCCAAACCAACAAGCUUGCUUGUUGGGGUUGUAGGACACUCUAUACGGAGUUACAAAGGACGACAUUAGACGAAUCAUCUGGAAAGAUGAAUCAAAGAAGGUAAUAAUCCUGUAGUCGAAAAUGUUGUCUCUCUUGAGUGGAUCCUGAGUACGACGGAGCACGUGAAAUUCCGUCGGAAUCUGGGAGGACCAUCUCCUAAGGCUAAAUACUCUCUAGUGACCGAUAGUGAACCAGUACCGUGAGGGAAAGGUGAAAAGCACCCCGGAAGGGGAGUGAAAUAGAACCUGAAACCGUGUGCUUACAAGUAGUCAGAGCCCGUUAAUGGGUGAUGGCGUGCCUUUUGUAGAAUGAACCGGCGAGUUACGAUUUGAUGCAAGGUUAAGCAGUAAAUGUGGAGCCGUAGCGAAAGCGAGUCUGAAUAGGGCGUUUAGUAUUUGGUCGUAGACCCGAAACCAGGUGAUCUACCCUUGGUCAGGUUGAAGUUCAGGUAACACUGAAUGGAGGACCGAACCGACUUACGUUGAAAAGUGAGCGGAUGAACUGAGGGUAGCGGAGAAAUUCCAAUCGAACCUGGAGAUAGCUGGUUCUCUCCGAAAUAGCUUUAGGGCUAGCCUCAAGUGAUGAUUAUUGGAGGUAGAGCACUGUUUGGACGAGGGGCCCCUCUCGGGUUACCGAAUUCAGACAAACUCCGAAUGCCAAUUAAUUUAACUUGGGAGUCAGAACAUGGGUGAUAAGGUCCGUGUUCGAAAGGGAAACAGCCCAGACCACCAGCUAAGGUCCCAAAAUAUAUGUUAAGUGGAAAGGAUGUGGCGUUGCCCAGACAACUAGGAUGUUGGCUUAGAAGCAGCCAUCAUUUAAAGAGUGCGUAAUAGCUCACUAGUCGAGUGACACUGCGCCGAAAAUGUACCGGGGCUAAACAUAUUACCGAAGCUGUGGAUUGUCCUUUGGACAAUGGUAGGAGAGCGUUCUAAGGGCGUUGAAGCAUGAUCGUAAGGACAUGUGGAGCGCUUAGAAGUGAGAAUGCCGGUGUGAGUAGCGAAAGACGGGUGAGAAUCCCGUCCACCGAUUGACUAAGGUUUCCAGAGGAAGGCUCGUCCGCUCUGGGUUAGUCGGGUCCUAAGCUGAGGCCGACAGGCGUAGGCGAUGGAUAACAGGUUGAUAUUCCUGUACCACCUAUAAUCGUUUUAAUCGAUGGGGGGACGCAGUAGGAUAGGCGAAGCGUGCGAUUGGAUUGCACGUCUAAGCAGUAAGGCUGAGUAUUAGGCAAAUCCGGUACUCGUUAAGGCUGAGCUGUGAUGGGGAGAAGACAUUGUGUCUUCGAGUCGUUGAUUUCACACUGCCGAGAAAAGCCUCUAGAUAGAAAAUAGGUGCCCGUACCGCAAACCGACACAGGUAGUCAAGAUGAGAAUUCUAAGGUGAGCGAGCGAACUCUCGUUAAGGAACUCGGCAAAAUGACCCCGUAACUUCGGGAGAAGGGGUGCUCUUUAGGGUUAACGCCCAGAAGAGCCGCAGUGAAUAGGCCCAAGCGACUGUUUAUCAAAAACACAGGUCUCUGCUAAACCGUAAGGUGAUGUAUAGGGGCUGACGCCUGCCCGGUGCUGGAAGGUUAAGAGGAGUGGUUAGCUUCUGCGAAGCUACGAAUCGAAGCCCCAGUAAACGGCGGCCGUAACUAUAACGGUCCUAAGGUAGCGAAAUUCCUUGUCGGGUAAGUUCCGACCCGCACGAAAGGCGUAACGAUUUGGGCACUGUCUCAACGAGAGACUCGGUGAAAUCAUAGUACCUGUGAAGAUGCAGGUUACCCGCGACAGGACGGAAAGACCCCGUGGAGCUUUACUGUAGCCUGAUAUUGAAAUUCGGCACAGCUUGUACAGGAUAGGUAGGAGCCUUUGAAACGUGAGCGCUAGCUUACGUGGAGGCGCUGGUGGGAUACUACCCUAGCUGUGUUGGCUUUCUAACCCGCACCACUUAUCGUGGUGGGAGACAGUGUCAGGCGGGCAGUUUGACUGGGGCGGUCGCCUCCUAAAAGGUAACGGAGGCGCUCAAAGGUUCCCUCAGAAUGGUUGGAAAUCAUUCAUAGAGUGUAAAGGCAUAAGGGAGCUUGACUGCGAGACCUACAAGUCGAGCAGGGUCGAAAGACGGACUUAGUGAUCCGGUGGUUCCGCAUGGAAGGGCCAUCGCUCAACGGAUAAAAGCUACCCCGGGGAUAACAGGCUUAUCUCCCCCAAGAGUUCACAUCGACGGGGAGGUUUGGCACCUCGAUGUCGGCUCAUCGCAUCCUGGGGCUGUAGUCGGUCCCAAGGGUUGGGCUGUUCGCCCAUUAAAGCGGUACGCGAGCUGGGUUCAGAACGUCGUGAGACAGUUCGGUCCCUAUCCGUCGUGGGCGUAGGAAAUUUGAGAGGAGCUGUCCUUAGUACGAGAGGACCGGGAUGGACAUACCUCUGGUGUACCAGUUGUCGUGCCAACGGCAUAGCUGGGUAGCUAUGUGUGGACGGGAUAAGUGCUGAAAGCAUCUAAGCAUGAAGCCCCCCUCAAGAUGAGAUUUCCCAACUUCGGUUAUAAGAUCCCUCAAAGAUGAUGAGGUUAAUAGGUUCGAGGUGGAAGCAUGGUGACAUGUGGAGCUGACGAAUACUAAUCGAUCGAAGACUUAAUCAA